rnacentral:misc_RNA from 1 species
UAGUAUAUGGAAUCUCCAUUCUAUAAACACCAUCUGCGUAUUUUAUACCUGUUGCUUCCAUGGGCCUUGAGCCCAGCGUUCGCAUCGGCCUAACAGCUGGUGAGCGCCCAUGGGAGGAUAACAUAAACCCUCUUUUUUGUGAACUAAGUCUGAGCUUGUUUAAUAUAAACGUUA